UACGUAGGUAGCGAGCGUUGUUCGGAAUUACUGGGCGUAAAGAGUGUGUAGGCGGUGCUCUAAGUUCGGUGUGAAAUCUCCCGGCUUAACUGGGAGGGUGCGCCGGAAACUGGAGUGCUCGAGCGUGGGAGAGGAAAGCGGAAUUCCUGGUGUAGCGGUGAAAUGCGUAGAUAUCAGGAGGAACACCUGCGGUGUAGACGGCUUUCUGGACCAUUGCUGACGCUGAGACACGAAGGCGUGGGUAGCAAACAGG
rnacentral:rRNA from 1 species